rnacentral:tRNA from 1 species
GGGGUUGUGGCUCAGUGGUAGAGCGCUCGCCUAGCAUGCGCGAGGUCCUGGGUUCAAUCCUUAGCACCA